GUGGGGAAUAUUGCGCAAUGAGCGAAAGCUUGACGCAGCGACACCGCGUGCGGGAUGAAGGCCUUCGGGUUGUAAACCGCUUUCGGCAGGGACGAAGCGAAAGUGACGGUACCUGCAGAAGAAGCUCCGGCUAACUACGUGCCAGCAGCCGCGGUAAGACGUAGGGAGCGAGCGUUAUCCGGAUUCAUUGGGCGUAAAGCGCACGCAGGCGGCCAAGUAAGUCGGGUGUGAAAUCCCGGGGCUCAACCCCGGGCGUGCAUCCGAAACUGCUUGGCUAGAGGUAGGCAGGGGAGAUCGGAAUUCCUGGUGUAGCGGUGAAAUGCGCAGAUAUCAGGAGGAACACCGGUGGCGAAGGCGGAUCUCUGGGCCUUACCUGACGCUCAGGUGCGAAAGCUAGGGGAGCGAACAGGAUUAGAUACCCCUGUAGUCC
rnacentral:rRNA from 1 species